ensembl:snRNA U6 U6 spliceosomal RNA
GUGCUCCCUUCAGCAGCACAUACGCUAAAAUCGAAAUGAUACAGAGAAGAUUAUCAUGGCCCCUGUACAAAAAUGACACAAAUUCAUGAAACAGCCCACAUUUAA